rnacentral:lncRNA from 10 species
GGUGUGCAUAUGUGUUUGGAGGUGUGUGUGUGUGCUUGAAGGAGGGUGUGUGUGUUUGAAGCAGGGUGUGUGUGUGUUUGAAGGAGGUGUGUGUGUGUUUGGAGGUGUGUGUGUGUUUGAAGGAGGUGUGUGUUAGGUGUGUGUGUGUUUGGAGGUGUGUGUGUUUGAAGGAGGUGUGUGAGGUGUGUGUGUUUGGAGGUGUGUGUGUGUUUGAAGGAGGUGUGUUAGGUGUGUGUGUGUUUGAAGGAGGUGUGUGUUUGGAGGUGUGUGUGUUUGAAGGAGGUGUGUGUUAGGUGUGUUUGUGUUUGGAGGUGUGUGUGUGUUUGAAGGAGGUGUGUGUGUUUGGAGGUGUGUGUGUGUUUGGAGGUGUGUGUGUGGAGGUGUGUUUGGAGGUGUGUGUGUGGAGGUGUGUGUGUGUGGAGGUGUGUGUGUGUGUUUGGAGGUGUGUGUGUGGUGUGUGUUUGGAGGUGUGUGUGUGGAGGUGUGUGUGUGGAGGUGUGUGUGUGUGGAGGUGUGUGUGUGUGGAGGUGUGUGUGUUAGGAGGAGGUGUGUGUUGGGUGUGUGUGUGUUUGCAGGUGUGUGUGUUUGGAGGUGUGUGUGUGUUUGGAGGUUGUGUGUGGAGGUGUGUGUGUGUGUGGAGGUGUGUGUGUGUGCUUGAAGGAGGUGUCUGUGAUGUGAUCCCAAGAAAAGGAACCACGAGCACAGAUCCUGCCUUCAGGAAGCUCCCAGACUGAAGGAGGAGGCAUGGCCCCUGCCCUAAAAGAGUUCCCCUCUCCUGAUGCAAAGAAACACAGCUCCUGUCCACAAGGAACCCUGAAUCUGAUGAAGUAGAGCAUCACAAUCAGACAAACAUACAGACAGAUGGGGACACACACACCCUACAAAGACAUAGUGAACAUAAUACUACCUGGUAUUUUCACAGGAAAUAAAAUCGCACCCCCUCUGUGCUAAACACCCCCCAAGGAGGAUCUUGCUUCAUGCAACAACUCACCGGGCAGAGAUGAUUAUUGACACUUGACAAACAAGUGUCAACCUUGGUCUUCCCAUUCC